GCCGCACCAGCACUCAGCACUGCUUAUUCUAAAAGGACGCAAGGACUUUGGAGCGCAGCCAAAAAUGCCUGGAACAAAAGGUAACAAGGCGGAUAAGAAAUCCGCUACCAAGCAACCUCAGAGUCCUAAGGAGCAGCCGAAGAAAGGUGAUCAGAAAGGAGAGGACACCAAAAAGCAAGGAGGACAGCCAAAGGAAGAGAAGCAAUGAUUUCCAGAGACUCUGUGACCCCGCCCUCAUCUGCUCACAUUUGACUCCGCCCGUGUCAUAGUUCACAACUGUGCUGUACAUAAAUUACAAAUAAACAUGAUUUCAUACACUUGA